GGUGUAGCCAAGUGGUAAGGCAGCAGUUUUUGGUACUGUGCAUCGUAGGUUCGAAUCCUACCACC
rnacentral:tRNA from 1 species